CUUCCCUGACUCCUCCUCCCCACUGCUGGCUCUGGUCUCCUCGGGGAUUUCCUCCUCUGAGUCUGUGGUCUCAGCGUCUAACACGAGAGAGAGAGACAGCAAGAAAGGGAACUCAAGCAGGGGAGGUGGCAGAGGAAGAACCAAGACUCCCUCGGAGCAGGAAGUCUGAUGCAGGGCUUCAUCCCAGAACCCCGGGAUCAUGACCCGAGCUGAAGGCAGAUGCCUAACAACUGAGCCACCCAGAAGAGUUCUGCCUAGAGAGAAGGUCUGAGCCUUGACCAAGGUGGGAAUGGAUUGUGAGAAGCUAGGAAAAAAAAAAGAAGAAGAAGAAGAAGAAAAGAAAAGAAUAUCUUCUCAGAGUUGACUGGUCACAACUGGAACAAGAUGCUUCCUGAGAAACUUCUGGAUCUCCUUCCAAGAAUGCUCCUGGGCAGCGGCAUGUAGGGUCACCUCUCCACCCCAGUGAAUGGACAGGUGGAGGCUGGAGAUCUUUGAAGCACAGCACAGUGGGGAAUAGGGAGGCUCUAACAGGUGGCCUGCCCCAGGGUAAGAUAGCAGGGUCCAGUUGUUCUUCCCGUAUCUGCUCAGCUGUUGGGUGGCUUGCUCAGCAUACACUUUGCUGUUGAGAUUCUUAUCAUCUUCUCCCACAAUGAAAAGGAAAUGUCCCUGGGCCUUUUCAAUGGGGAGAAGAGACGUCUCACUGGCUUCACGUCUAGCUUCCUCAAAGCUGUGCUGGAACUCUGCUAACCCCAAGGCAUUGAUGGACAGCGAUUGUGGAGAGAUGGCUAAGGGCUUACUUAUCUGACCAUGAUAUACCUGUGGAAUGCUCAAUAUGAAGUUGGGCCCAUUAAUAAGCACAGUAGCUGUGACUUGUUUUAGGUGUAUAGCCAUGGAGAGUCCAAUCUCUGCACCUUUGCUUAUGGAAACUAUGCCAAUGCCUGGGCCGAGGACCUAAAAAUAAUGGAAAUGAGAUGUUGAUUCUGUCUACCAUUUAGCAAAAUGCUACCACCUCAAAUAACCAAAGAACUUGAACAACCAGUAGGAACCAAGCAAGGACUAACCCCACCCACAUGCCCAGUUCUAGAGUUCUGGAAUACAUGAUGAACGUUCAAAGGAAAUACUCCUUCAAAAACAUAUCAGGCCUUCCAAAUUAAAUACUAUGGAUUCAGCGUGGUGUUAGGCACUGAGUUUAAAAUGCCCUAAAGAAAUACCAAUGUAGUAGGAAAAAGAAGAAAAAGGCCCGUAACUCAUGUGAAUAACAGAAGUCAAGUUACAGUUGAUCGGUCAACACCGUUGUACCAAUUCUAGGGUCUCUAGAAGUCCAGAGGAAAGGGUACUCUAUAGGAAAAGACUGAGAAAAAAGAUGAGUUUAGUAGAACAGAGAAUGGAAACGUGAGCAGAGGAUUCUAGCUCUGCCGUGGUUGCCCUGGAAGGUUUCUCCUUUAGAGAAAGGUUUCAUAAAGGAAGCCUGGCUCAGCUUCCUCUUCCGCCUUCAGUCAUCAAGCAGGCAUUUUUAAAAAAAGAUUUAUUUCUUUGGCAGAGACAGAGAGAAAGAGCAUACACAAGCAGGCAGAGAAGUAGGCAGAGGGAGAGAGAGAAGCAGAUUUCUCUGCUGAGCAGGAACGCCUGAUGGGCUCAAUCCUGGGACCCUGGGAUCAUGACCUAAGAUCAUGACUCAAUGACUGAGCCACCCAGGUGCCCCUAAGCAAGCGAGUUUAGAUUGUCCCACCCUGUACUAACCGCCGGAGGACACAGAGGGGAAAAAAGGCGUAAGUCAUCUUUUAUCAUCAAGGAACUCACUGCCCGAUGGAGAGACAGGAGGGAAAAAAACAGACAAUUAGAGUAGCUUACAAAUUCUGCGAUAUAAGAAUGCACAUAGGCAAGGCUGCCAACCCAGAUUACCAGGGAAUAAAGCAGGAUCAGGGAAAGAUUCUCAGAGGAAAUGGGCUACAAUUUGGACCUUUAUACAAAAAAAAAGUCAGGCGGGGGCGACAAACAAGAAGGGAAGUUAUUGUAUGCUGUGUAGUGGACACCAAUAAGAACUAUUCUCUUUUUCUUUUAUGGGGCAUGUAUAUUGCCCCAGGGGGUAGAUUCUGAUGGAUCUGAACCUAUUCCCCUAUGCAAUAUAUAUAUAUUUUUUCAGCCUCUUUGGAAGGCCAAUACAUUCUACCUGAGGUCCUAUCCUGUAUAUUAAGAGGGGUGACCGGAAUCAUCUCCUUUUGAAUUAAAAAGACCUUUCAAGCUCUGAAGUUCCACGUCUUAAUAUGAAAGAUACAGAGUCACAGUUACUGCAAUGAAAGGUGAGAACUCAGAAUGGAUUUGGCCAGGGAAGACAGAGUAAAAGGAAGUACAACACAGAUCAACAACAACAACAACAAGUGACUCAGUUGUGUGCAGACAUUUGGCAGAACACCAGCUCUUGUUAUAACUUCUGCCACCAAAUUUGGGAUCAGGGAAUUUAGAAUGCUUAGAAGACACUUAAAAUCAACAGAUGGAGAAAUAAGAUCUAUAAGGAAUUGAAAGGUGGGUGGUCUCUCUUCUCACAGAAGAGAGAGCAUGAAGCAGGCUUAGUGGAAGUAGUAAGAGCCUAGGAGAGAAAUCUGGUUUCCAAGUCUCAUUAGUCAUUGACUAACUUUGGGAAGUCAUUAGUCAUUGGCUGACUUUGGGAAGAACGCUGAGGGAAAAGUCAUGCAGCAAGUAUAAGGGAAAGCAGGCUAAGGAAGUGAACAGCAGAAUCACGGAACCUCAUUUCUCAUCUAAGCCAAGCAGAAAACGCAGCACAAUAUAGCUAUUUAAAAAUUCAAUGCAUCAGUAGAUUGUUAGUGAUUAUUGCUCAUCUUAUUACUGUAAUUCUGAUCAUAUUUUGGAUGAUCCUUUAUAUGAAAUAGGGUGUGGUACAGAGACUUAAUUUUACUUGGAUCAGUUCUUUUAUUUUUUGGACUUUAUUUAUUUAUUUGUUUGGGGGGGGGCAUAAGCAUGAACAAGGGAAGUGCUGAGCAGGGAGUCCGAUGUGGGACUCCACUCUACAACCCCGGGGUCAUGAUCUGAGCUGAAGGCAGACAUUUAACCAACUGAGCUACCCAGAUACCCAUAGAGCAAUUUUUUUGUUUUAAAGGUUUUAUUUAUUUGACAGAGACGGAACACAGCAGGGGGAGUGGGAGAAGCAGGCUUCCCAUAAGCAGGGAUCCCAAUGUGGGGCUAGAUCCCAGGACCCUGGGACCCUCUGGGGUCAUGAGCGGGGCUGAAGACAGAUGCUUAAGCAGCUGAGGCACCCAGGCAUCCAAGACGCAAUGGCUUUAGAUUCAGAUGGAACUGAGUUGCAUUUCUGUCUCUACCCCAUCCGGUUGUGGGAAUUUGGACAAGCUUCUAACCCUUUCUAACCCUGAAUCUCUUCAUCUAUUAAAUACUAUGGUGGUGAUGCUAUUUCGAAAGGUUCUUGUGAGAAGUAAAGGGGAUAAUACAAGUGAAGAGCUUACUAGAGUAAUUAGCAAUACACAUCCUCAAUAAAUGUAAUUCUUAUUAUUAUCACCUUCUCUGAUUAUUAUUAUAGUCACCAGACUGUACAAGACAGAUAAUCUUCCUUUGAGGAGUGAGUCUGAUUUUUAGCUAUUGGAGAGGACUUAAUUAUAAUGCUGUAGGACUUCCCAAUCCAUACCUUCUUUAAGUUCUAAAAUGUGCUUUUCCUGCUAUAUUAGGGUUGCUGCAUAUUAUCCCUUGUUAAUUGCUGAUAUUUUUUUCUUAGUGAGAAUUGCUCAGGGCACCUGGGCAAAUAAAUAAAAACUUUAAAAUAAUUAAA